UAUUGCUCUUCAACGAGGAAUCCCUAGUAAGCACAAGUCAUCAGCUUGUGUUGAUUACGUCCCUGCCCUUUGUACACACCGCCCGUCGCUACUACCGAUUGAAUGGCUUAGUGAGACCCUCGGAUUGGUAUUCAGAAGCUUUAACCGGCAUCUGUUUGCUGAGAAGUUGGUCAAACUUGGUCAUUUAGAGGAAGUAAAAGUCGUAACAAGGUUUCCGUAGGUGAACCUGCGGAAGGAUCAUUAAUGAUUUUUAAAGCGAGUCGAGCGUUAAGCGAGGCUUGCGAAAUAUUUAAAACCCCACUCUUUUUAACCUUAAAAAAUAAAUCAUGAUACAUGAAUUUAAAAAAAAAGAUCACUUUCAACAACGGAUCUCUUGGCUCUCGCAUCGAUGAAGAACGCAGCGAAAUGCGAUAAGUAGUGUGAAUUGCAUAAUUUUGUGAAUCAUCGAAUCUUUGAACGCAAAUUGCACUCCCUGGUAUUCCGGGGAGUAUGCCUGUUUGAGGGUCGUUAGAAUAAAAAUCGAGGCGUCGCUCUUUUUUUAAGGGUGAUCGCGUCGGAAUUGAGCCGUCUUUCAAAUGUUAAUUCAUGUCAAAGUGGCUUAAAAUUCAUCCAUCCGGUACGAUUAAAGCGUAUUUAAGAUCAAUUUUGAUUAAGAACGCGCGAUGACGUACCAUCUCAUGUAGUACGUUUGACUUGGCGUCGUCAGGAUCAUUCGUAUACGAUACUCAACUUUUGACCUCAAAUCAGGUAAGAAUACCCGCUGAACUUAAGCAUAUCAAUAAGCGGAGGAAAAGAAAAUAACAAUGAUUCCCUCAGUAACGGCGAGCGAAGAGGGAUAAGCUCAAAUUUUAAAUCUGUUGGGUUCCACUUAACAGAGUUGUAUUUUGAAGAAACGUUUUCUGCAUCCAGGAUUAGCCUAAAUCCUUUGGGAUAAGGUAUCAUGGAGGGUGAGAAUCCCGUUCAUGUUAAUCUUAGGAAGCUCUACGAUACGUUUUCCAAGAAGUCGAGUUGUUUGGGAUUGCAGCUCAAAAUGGGGAGGUAAAUUUCUCCUAAGGCUAAAUAUUGCGAGAGACGAUAGCGAAACAGGUACGUGAGGAAGGAUGAAAAGACUUGGAAAAGAGAGUUAACAGGUACGUGAAACUGAUGAUGAAACGAUUGAGUCAGUCCUAACAACGGAAAUCCACCCUUUGGAGCCUUGAAAUGUCAUAAAAUGACUGGAGGAAUGUAGCUUCGAUCUCGUAUUGAAGUGUUAUAGCCUUUGGUAGAUGUGAUGUUUGAGACCGAGGAUUGCAACGGAUACCCUUCAGGGCUAUUCGUCUGAUCUCUGAUACGUUGCCUUGAUGUUGAAAGCUUGCUUAUGAUGUUAGGGUAUUACGGUCAAAAGGUUAGAACGAAUUACAUUCGUUAAGGAUGUUGACGUAAUGACUUUAAACGACCCGUCUUGAAACACGGACCAAGGAGUCUAACAUAUAUGCGAGUGUUC
rnacentral:rRNA from 1 species